CGCGUCGUUGGCAGCCGGGGUGAGCCCCUUACGUAGAGGCUUGGGAAAGGGAAAGGCUUUUGUGGAGGAGCGCGGCGUAUGUCGGUUCUUUUCGAGGCUUUUAGCCUCACAGCACGGAGGGUGUCUGCAAACAGAAGUGAAUUGGUACCUCUGGUACUCUUAAUUCCAAACAAGAUGAAGAUCCCCUCUUUGCUGCUGAGAUUCCCUCAUUGUUAUUUCUCUAGAAGCAAUUACUUCACAAACUUUCGCUUCACUUCCAGAGCAGAUUUCCUGUGCAUGGAAUCUCUUACGCCAGUGCACCACUAUCGUACAAAAUGGAUGUGCUCAUCAAACGGUUUGAGGAGAGAGCUGUGUCAGCAAGUGGCCCCUGACCAGCAAAUAGAGGGACUUUCUGACAGAGAACAAAGACUCAUAGACAAACUUUACAAUGGACUAAUCCAGGGUCAUAGAGCCUGUUUAGCAGAAGCUAUUACACUUGUAGAAUCAACUCAGAGUAGGAAAAAGAAAAUAGCCCAGGUGCUCCUUCAGAAGGUAUUAUCCUACCACAGGGAACAAGAAAAGUUAAAUCAAGGAAAGCCACUUGCCUUUAGAGUGGGGUUGUCUGGUCCUCCUGGUGCUGGGAAAUCAACUUUCAUAGAAUGCUUUGGGAAAAUGCUUACAGAAAGAAAAUACAAAGUGUCUGUGUUGGCUGUAGACCCUUCCUCUAGUACAAGUGGUGGUUCUCUAUUGGGUGAUAAAACACGGAUGACUGAGUUGUCAAGAGACAUGAAUGCAUAUAUCAGACCGUCUCCAACCAGAGGGACGCUGGGAGGUGUAACAAGGACCACAAAUGAAGCCAUUCUGCUGUGUGAAGGAGGAGGCUACGACGUUGUACUUGUGGAAACAGUAGGUGUGGGACAGUCAGAAUUUGCUGUGGCUGACAUGGUUGAUAUGUUUAUAUUACUGCUACCACCUGCGGGUGGAGAUGAAUUACAGGGUAUCAAGCGGGGUAUAAUUGAGAUGGCAGAUCUAGUUGCUAUAAAUAAAGCUGAUGGUGAUUUAGUUGUACCUGCACGGAGAAUACAAGCUGAAUAUGUUAGUGCUAUGAAGCUGCUUCGCAAGCGUUCAAAGGUUUGGAGACCAAAGGUAAUGCGCAUCUCUGCCAAAACUGGAGAAGGUAUCUCAGAUAUGUGGGAUAAAAUGACAGAAUUUCGUGACCUCAUGCUCACAAGUGCUUUAAAAAUUAUCUGUGUUUUGGUGGAACUUAGUAGAAGAAAUGAGAGUCAGGUGGAAAAUGAAUUAAUGAGAGCAGCAGCAUUUUAAUCGGUCCCUGUGUAAUAGCUGUUGCUGGUGUUUCACAGCUGGAAAAACAAGCGUGGUGAGAUCAAGUGAUUUACCCAGGCCUCUGAAACAGGCUUGGACAGAGCUCACGAGCAGAAGACAAGGAUUUCUGAAGUCGUGCAAAACUGUUGUUCAGUGUCUGUUAGCAGCACCUGUGGCAAACCGUCUCUUCUUGACCCCUUCGUUACCUUUGGCCUUUGGUCUUCUUUCUCUCAUCAAGUCUUAGAAGAAAGCAGGCACCAUCGUAGCCAGGUGUGGAGGAUGGGAAGUUUAGAGACAAGCCAACGGUGCUAAGAUGUGUCCUGCUGUUUGUGCGGAAAAGGACCUGAGCUUGUUCCCAGGCUGUGAUGUCAGACUGUCCUCUCAUGACAGGAGAAACAGAAUUCAGCCAUCACAGUAAGGAUUAUUCUUAGAGAAGCUUUCCCAGUAUUUUGGAGUAGGCAAAAUAAUCCGUAGAGGAAAGGAAAAUUAGGAUGCUAAGAAUUUCCUGGUUAUCUAGGAGGGAUUUCACAAACUGAAUUAGAAGGAAUAUUAAAUGUGUUUGAAAAGAAAAUGUUUAGUAGGGGUCUGCACUGAAUGUAGAUAUAACGACAGUUCCCCCCCUCCCCCCCUUUUUUUUAAAUAUGAUCAAAUCUGGCAAAGCCUGUAAAAUAAGUGCAAAGAGUAAGUUACUUGUUUCACUUUACUUCUGAACUGUAAAUUGUUAGUCCAGACAAGGGAUCUUUAGUGACAUCAUAAACCGCAACAAGUAAUGUGCCUUAUGAUGUCAGAAGCUUAGACUAGGAGCUUUUACCGUUACUCAGAUGCUUGUCUUUUACUUCUAGGUCUAAGUAAGAAACAGCUAAGUAUUCGUAUACUUUUUCUGCCAAAAAUGUCAUGAUCCUGAGACAUCGGUAAGCUUGUGGACAUUGGGUAGAAAAUAAUGCCUUGUCAGUCUGCUGGUUUUCUCCUUUCCCUCCUUCUCACCUCCACUACUGCCUUCUCCCCUCUAUCAGCGCUUCAGGAUUUGUUGAUAGCUGUUAACAGCAGUACAGGUCAACAUACUAAAAGGUCAGCAUGUGUUUCACAAACCUGUUAUCCUCUGGUGUCCCUUCUCAUCUGAAGUUCAAGGAGAAACUCUGCAGUCUCAUAAAAUUCAUGGAGAGGACUAAUAUUGCUGUAAUCACACAAUUGAGAUUGGAUAAUCAUUCCAGAAAAGACAGCCACACGAGAAACUGGUUUCUGUCCUAUGUGUCACGUCAAAAGCAUGGUAAGCAUAUGGUAGCUGGCAGAGCUCAAUCAGGUAAAAUAAACAGCACGCUGGAACGUGAAUUACAUUGCAAAUAUUUUUUAUGCACAAAUCUUAACAAAGUGAUCUACCUGGAAAUCCUGACAGCUGUCUGAGACUAAGAGGAAUGACUUUCCAUGCCUUUGCUUGCUGAGCAAAUUUUGUUUACGGAAACAGGAUUCUUUUUUUUUUUUUUUUUGUGAGCUGUGAAUAUGAUUUGUCUGUCUGCAGUGAACAACAGCUGAUAAUAUUUGAUCCCUGCAGAAUUCAAAACAAGUAGCUGGAGUCACAUUCUUCACUUGAUUUACAAGAGAAGAAGGAACCUAAGUCAAAAUCAGUAAGCUUUUGAAAACAGUUUCAGUAAAAGCAAAAAACUUUUUUGUUGUUUGAGUGGUGUGAUGCAGAAUACCUGACUUGUUCUUUCUGUGUGCAGUGGCAAUAGAACCUGAGUAGAUUUGAACAUUAAUGUUUGAAACUUUAGGUAAUUAAAAUAUUGGCAUCCUUCACCUUUCCUUUUAGCUAUCCAUCGGAAUGUGGCAUUCCCUUAUAAAUGAAAGUGUCUUUACAGUGAGACUCUUUAGUGCUGUCAUUUCCACAUCUGCAGCAACUGGGCAGACCGUGCCCGCUGGAUAGCACUAGCACAACUAAAAGCCACCGAAUAUUUUAUUUCUGUACUAAGAUUAAUCACUUGUUCUGAAUCACGAUGUGUUAAAUAGGGAAGGCCCGGUUUCAUGUCUUGCAGGAUGCACGUGGCUUUCAGUGUAGCUGCAGAUUCUGCUCCACACACCCGUUGCCACCACACACAGUUCCUUGCUGUGCACUUGCUCAUACCAGAAAUGCUACUCUUUCUCCAUACCCUGACAUCAGGAAAGGGACGGCGUUUGAGCACGUGCCUGUGAUUGAAUAGGGGUCCUAGAAUACAGGUCACCUGAGUUUUGUCCCAUUAGGCGAGUCAGUUUUCCAUUUCUGGGCUAGUAAAUUUCAUAUGCAAUGAGACAGGAAAUUUCAGAGGGAAACUGGAAUAAUUAAAAUAAUCUUGUUUGGUCCACUGCCAGCUCUUUCAUCUUAGGAAAUGUUGCUCUGGAGACAUGCACAGAUCCUGUAAAUGAAUCUAGUCCAGAUAGCUCUCAUCUAGCAUUUUGAACAUGUAUCCCUUAGUGAGCAUGUGAAGUGCAAGGACAUUUCUGUGGGACAGUUUGAAUAGUUUUGGUUUCUUUUUAUUUUUUUUUUCUUUAUUGGCUGCUGCUUGAGAUUGAGGCUGGACUAAGUGGAUCCGCAGAGUUUUUGUAAUAAACCACCUUGUUUGCAUACCAAGAAAUUUCGACGGAGAGAAACAAAUUGCUACAAACCACAAAGGUUAAAUUUUCCACGCUGUGAAAGUCUCUUUAUUUCUGAAGAACUGAGGAUGCAGAUUUAGGAAUUUGAGUUGUGCUGUCAAUUACAAAGGAAUUGAAAUGGAAUUUCCUCCAGCGGGAUGGGAUUCAAGCGACAAAUGAGGCAGGAGAGAAGUGAGAUGUUGAAAAUCAAGUGAGAUGUUGACCUCUGCCCCUUGGAAAAGACUGAAUUUCUACCGUGUUAAAGUCCUUAAGCAGCCGCAGCAGUGCGUCGUGCUGACCUGGCAAUUUGCAUCCUCGAAGCUCUGCUCAAAGAUCUGAACUGAGCGAAGCACUCCGCCAAGCUGAGAGGGUAUCUUUGCAUCACUGUCUUCUGACUCAUUUGUCAAAGGCUGACAGACCUCUCUCUAGCCUGCGAGGGCAGGUUGGAAUCCUGGCACCUGACAGAUGCAGCCGUCUUCGCCAGUGUUAGAUGUGAUAAAGGAAAACGCAUUUUUCAGUUGGAGUUAGAAAAGGUUCCACACUAUAGUCCAUCAGCCCAAAUCCUGACCGUUUCUCUUCAAAAGAUACUGAACUUCUGUCAUGCAUCAGAGUGGCUGGUGUCAUGGAAGGAAGUCUUCAGAAAGUCCCCUUGCAUUACUGGGCCUGUGAUGAGGAGAUUUGAGGGGCUUGUCUGUCUUACUGUGGAAGCAAGAUGAUUGAUUUGAAUUUGUUAUGGCACUGCAACUUGUCACACCAAGUGGGACACCCUCUGCAAGAACAGAGCACGAGGAGGCAAGGUAUGUGCUCUGCUCUGAAUACUGUUGGGGUGGAAGUUCUCUGGCUUUCAGUGUUUGCACAGUAAAUUCAGUGUCAACAUACGUACAGACAGCAGAUCUCAGAGGAGUUAGAGGUAAAUAACCUUUCUUUUUGAGGUUUCUAGAAAGAGCUGCAGAGCUAAGGGAUUUCUCUGACUUUUUGGCCUGUCAUGAAUUGGCAGAUGACUUGGGAGAAGGCAGUCCCUGGUUGGUUGGCAGUGCCAAGAGCGAGCUUUGAACCAUGCAGGGUUUUGGCAGCUGGGGAACAUUCACAUUAGAGACUUCACAGUCCUGGCCUCUCUUUGGCUGCCAGUGACAGUUUUUGGUGAUCUAUUUUAUUUUUAUUUGGUCAUUAGAAGUAAAAGCUAGGUGUCUCAGUUCCUGUGUUAGUCUAGCCCAGGAAGCUAAAAGAGUCCCAUGGGAAACAAAUUUUCUGACCUAUACAAAAAAAAACCACCCCACCCAUUUUGUUUUGGCUCCCUAAAUGUGGAAGAUUCUUGAAGUCUCUACCACCAAACUAGGAGCCUGGAUCUUGACAACCUAUUGAUUAGGUGACAAAAAAACUAAUGACAGGACUCACGUGACUUGUGCUGCCAAAUACAGAAUUUGAGGAACUGGCUAUUACAGUGACAGAAUCAAAAAUCCUGAUGGAAACCAUCCAGUUUCUAAAGAGUGCUCAGGAAAACCUCUCUGUGUAAAGGAUUUUGGGAACCAGAUCCAAAGGCAGUCGGUCAGAACGUGUCCAGUAGCGCUCAUCGUCAGGAACCACAAAUUGUGCUCCACAGGAAAUUCCUGUGUCUCUUAAAACUUGUCUGACAGCAAAACAUUCCUCUGGAAGAAAACUCUGAGCAAUCCCAAUUUUUUUUUUUUUUUAAUUCUUCUUUCUUCUGAAGUGUUAGUCAGUAGCAUUUACCCUGAGAGCAGGAUACUGGCUGGAACUGAGGAAUUAAUAGGCCAAUCUAGCUGGGUCAACCCUUUUACCACAUAUGGAAGUGAACUGUGAGCAGAAUGAGCUUUUCAUGGAAGCGGAGAGGGCCAGAGCAGGGUAACAGCGAGGAUCACAAGUACCAAGUGGCCUCUGUUUGUGGCGAGAGCAGAGUGGGACUGUCCAGCUCAAGGGCCUGCAGCAGCAGCUAUAAAAUAGCUUGGGGAAGGCUAAUCAGGAGCUAUUUUUGCAGAGCAAACAGAGUACUUUUUUACGUAGUGACUUUACAUGUAGUUUGUGGAACAGCAUGGUGCUGGAGAUAGGAAUAGGUUUAAAGAAAAGCCCAGGUCCAGUGACAACAGGUCAGUCCUCCCUCUGUAUCAUAAGUACUUAUGCCUCAGGCAGUCACGUUAGGAGGAGGUCAGAUGUGAUUUAUUAUGGCAGCACCAAAGGGACCGUAGUAAAUUAAAUCGAGCUUAGAAGAAAACACGAGUGGAUUCUUUUUUUACUGUUAAAUUCUUUGUUACAUGAGUUGAGCAGGGUCAGGAUACUGGGAAUGCCAUGGCGGGGGUGGGGGGGGGUGUCGUCUUUCCAGGCACACACGCUUCCAUGACUGCAACGUGCCCAUGAAGCAGCUGGAGCUCAGCACCCAGAGAGCGUUGGGCCAGUAGGUGAUGUGUGGGGCCACCGAGUGUGCUGAGACCAUCCACCCGCAGCUGAGGACUGCCAGACCUGUGCGGCUACUGACAGGCUCCCUGCCGUACAGCAGAGCUGCUGCAACCGAGGCACCUUCCCAGAAGAGUAACAAUCCAAAGCUUGCAGUUCCAGUGAAACGCUCUCUGAGAAGUGCUGGAAAAAAACAAAGAUACAGUGGACGGGGAGAGAAAGACCAGCUCUUCUUGAACGUCUUACCAUCCUAAUGUCAAAGAUGCCUUCCCUUCACCUGACUAACUGGCCACCAGCAAAGGGAGCGGUGGAUCCCACACACGAGCUGUUACAGCACCACCCACUCCAGCAAGGUACCGAUGGAGGCCCUGACGAUUCGUAUCCACACCCCAGCAGAAAUUACAGAGAAUCCUCUCCUCCUCCCUCCUACUCAAGCCUCAAUCUAUUGAAGGUGAAAAAAAGAGAGGAAGGAAACCCAAAAAGAAACAAGGAUAUAGCCAACCUUUUUAAUUAGAGUAUAUUGUACUUCCAAACUGGAUACA